rnacentral:rRNA from 1 species
AGAGUUUGAUCCUGGCUCAGAUUGAACGCUGGCGGCAUGUCUUUACACAUGCAAGUCGAACGGCAGCACGGGGGCAACCCUGGUGGCGAGUGGCGAACGGGUGAGUAAUGCAUCGGAACGUAUCCUUGAGUGGGGGAUAACGCAGCGAAAGUUGUGCUAAUACCGCAUAAGCCUCGUAGAGGGAGGAAAGCGGGGGGACCCGAAAGGCCUCGCGCUGAAGGAGCGGCCGAUGUCCGAUUAGCUAGUGGUGAGGUAAAGGCUUACCAAGGCGACGAUCGGUAGCUGGUCUGAGAGGAUGAU